GAGUCUCCAUAGAUCAUACAAAGAGAGAACAGAGAAACAAGGCAACAAAUUGGGAUACGCUGCAACACUCUGCACUGAACAUCUGACUUCAAUUAGCCAACCCUCAAUUUCCAAUACAAAAAUCACAAAAGGAUUACUAAGGGAGAAUUUAUAAUGGAAAAGAGAUUCAGCCUAUAUUUAUCCUGAUGUGGCUGUGAACUGGACCAUCUGCUAUAGGAAGGAGCACCUGAAGACUUGUUGGCUGAAGUUCUCUGUCUGGCCUCGAAAGACAUUCAAAUUAGCCACCACUGGAGUAGAUGACCUAAAAGUUCUUACAACUCUCAAUUAUACCCAGUGAUGUCUCGAUUAGCACUUAUUAUAAAAAUUAAAAUUUAUAAUUCAACAUUUAUACCAUCCAGAAAAAGUUAAAAUAUAUUAAUAGCCUAUUUCUCUUCAAUAAAGCGUAUAUAUAACUCUA
rnacentral:lncRNA from 1 species